CGGACCUCAACCUUCAAGCCCACACCCACAGCAUCUCGAAAGAAAUAUAAAUUAUGUAGGAUUUUUACUGUAUUUCAAGAGGGAACGCGACACCCAUGGGGCGCGCUGGCUUCCUCCUGCUGGCGGCGACGACGCUCUCCUGCCUCGCACCCGCGACGAUCGGAGAAUGAUAAGUCAAGGAUAAGUCCAUAAGCGAAGCUGAGCCUCGCCCGGGCUGUGGGGGAGCCCGGCCUGUGCCGACUACUGUCGACUCGAACAACAUGUGUCAGCAAGCGCUGACGCGACAGCGCUCAUUCUUUACCCAUGGUGGUGCCCAGCCGCAACAGUAACCUCCGGGCGACAAUGGCAACUUUUCGCGCCUGGGCGGGGCGCGAACCGCCGACUCCUCGGAUGAGAGGACGGCACCUUAUCAUUGUACUAGCCUAGAGGUUUUCGAAAUAUGAAAUGCUGUGGGAUUCUUCGUGUACCAUUUUGUCCCACGCUUUCUCUGAGUCCUUCAUAAUCCACGUCCCGUUCUUCGAUCUCAAGGGCAUUGUUCAUAAGGAUCCCGAUGUUCCUGAGUUGUGAGAUGGCUGCAGGAGAGCGGUAGACAAGCGGGGAAGAAAUAAACGGAUAUUUUUACCUUGAGACUCCACUCAAUGGCUGACGACAAAAAAAUAAUAAAAAGCUGUCUGUGUAUGAGUAAACACACACAUUCUCUCUUUCUCUCUCUCUCUCUCUCUCUCUCUCUCACACUCACACACACACACACACACACACGCACGCACUCACACACACACGCUAGAGAUUUUUUCUUCAUAUAACCGUUUUCCAUGUAACUUUCUUAAAUGUCUAAUUAUCAUUCUAUCACCAACUUCUCAGUGUAAUUUCCAAGCACAGAUUCUUACGAUAUAAAGCAAUCUAGUUGUUUUAUUAUUGUUUGUAUCAAGUUUCACGGCAAAAACUCCUCAUCUACUGGGGGGGAAACGUAUUUUUUAAACAGGACAAACAACAAACGAUUAUUUGUACUCAUACCUUUUAAUUAAUUACAGUUUUACAAGCCAUUCAUCUACUAAGGUAAAAAAAAAGGAAAAAAAGUUUUAAAAUAUAUAGAUUAUUAUCGACGAGAAGAGAAUCAGAGCGAAGGUCAAUUAGUCAAUUUGCAGUUUGCGAGGAAAGAAAGAAAGAAAUUAUGAAGGAAGAAAAA